rnacentral:rRNA from 1 species
UACGAAGGGGGCUAGCGUUGCUCGGAAUUACUGGGCGUAAAGCGUGCGUAGGCGGUUCGUUAAGUUCGUUGUGAAAGCCCCGGGCUCAACCUGGGAACUGCAAUGGAAACUGGCGGGCUUGAGUGUGGCAGAGGGGGGUGGAAUUCCGCGUGUAGCAGUGAAAUGCGUAGAGAUGCGGAGGAACACCGAUGGCGAAGGCAGCCCCCUGGGCCAACACUGACGCUCAGGCACGAAAGCGUGGGGAGCAAACAGG